rnacentral:rRNA from 1 species
CCGCAAGGUUAAAACUCAAAGAAAUUGACGGGGGCCCGCACAAGCGGUGGAGCAUGUGGUUUAAUUCGAUGCAACGCGAAAAACCUUACCUACCCUUGACAUCCUCGGAACUUGUCAGAGAUGAUUUGGUGCCUUCGGGAAUCGAGUGACAGGUGCUGCAUGGCUGUCGUCAGCUCGUGUCGUGAGAUGUUGGGUUAAGUCCCGUAACGAGCGCAACCCUCGUCCUUAGUUGCCAGCGAGUCAAGUCGGGAACUCUAAGGAGACUGCCGGUGAUAAACCGGAGGAAGGUGGGGAUGAUGUCAAGUCAUCAUGGCCCUUACGGGUAGGGCUACACACGUGCUACAAUGGGCAGUACAAAGGGUUGCCAAGCCGCGAGGUGGAGCUAAUCCCAGAAAACUGCUCGUAGUCCGGAUUGGAGUC